rnacentral:rRNA from 1 species
AUACGAAGGGUGCGAGCGUUAAUCGGAAUUACUGGGCGUAAAGCGCGCGUAGGCGGUUGGAUAAGUCGGAUGUGAAAGCCCCGGGCUCAACCUGGGAAUUGCAUUCGAAACUGUCCGGCUAGAGUAUGGUAGAGGGAAGCGGAAUUCCACAUGUAGCGGUGAAAUGCGUAGAUAUGUGGAGGAACACCAGUGGCGAAGGCGGCUUCCUGGACCAAUACUGACGCUGAGGUGCGAAAGCGUGGGGAGCAAACAGGGUUAGAAACCCUAGUAGUCC